CUCUGCCUGCCUCCGGGCAGGAGGGAAGGUGAAAAGCAAAGCCCAUGCUGGUCGACUCUGUGUUUCCUGGGACAACACAACUGCAUGAUGCAUACCUGCUUAUGGUUCAUUUGCCAGAACUAGAUCACAUGACUUGUUAGCCUGGGGAAAGAGUAUCUCCAACUGGAAACAGCCCUGAAGUGGGCAAAAUCACAGCACUGUUAGAAGGAAGAGAGGCAACACAGCCGUGGAUGGGGAGGCCAGUAGUGCCUGCCGAGAGAGGAAAGAUACCAGAAGCAGGAUUCCAUGAAGCCACCUCCCAGUUCCAGUUUCAUGUGCGUAGAUGGAAGCAGGCACCAAACCUGUUCUGCCAGCUCCAGGCCACUGGGCUGGCACAGCCACACUGCAGGCUGAACUCCAAUUCCUUGUUUCCUUGGAGACCAUCAAUAGUGCCAAGUCCACAAGUAUGUUCAAAGUCACACUAAUCACACUUCACUUCUGCCAUCGUCUCCAGAGCCCAGGGUGUGCAGAUCUACCGCUACCCUCCUUACCAGGACAUCGGGCAGGUCUGCGACCUGAGAUAUUUGGGGAUCGUGUAUAAAUAAGUGUAAGUGUGUCGAUGUUCAGUAAAAUAAAAUUUCCUUCUUAA